rnacentral:lncRNA from 1 species
AACUUUUCAAGAGAUUAAGAAAAUAUUAACUUAUGCACUGUCUUAAUUUUACCUAAACCAAAUACGCUGAUUCCAUGAUUAAGGGGUAUGCUUAUGCAUAUAGGAAAAUUAAGACCAUGAAAGGAAUUAUUUAGAGAUAGUUUUUGUAGUUUCUAUUGUUAAGAUGUGGGAACAUUACAUGUAUAGUUUUAGAUAUGAUGUA